rnacentral:rRNA from 1 species
GAUGAACGCUGGCGGCGUGCCUAAUACAUGCAAGUCGAGCGAACAGACGAGGAGCUUGCUCCUCUGACGUUAGCGGAGGACGGGUGAGUAACACGUGGAUAACCUACCUAUAAGACUGGGAUAACUUCGGAAAACGGGAGAUAAUACCGGAUAAUAUAUUGAACCGCAUGGUUCAAUAGUAAAAGACGGUGUUGCGGUCUCUUAUAGCUGGAUACGCGCCGCAUUAGCUAGUUGGUAAGGUAACGGCUUACCAAGGGGACGAUGCGUAGCCGACCUGAGGGGCGGAUCGGCCACACUGGAACUGAGACACGGUCCAGAGUCCUACGGGAGGCCGCAGUAGGGAAUCGUCCGCAAUGGGCGAGAGCUUGACGGAGCAACGCCGCGUGAGUGAUGAAGGUCUUCGGAUCGUAAAACUCUGUUAUUAGGGAAGAACAAAUGUGUAAGUAACUAUGCACGUCUUGACGGUACCUAAUCAGAAAGCCACGGCUAACUACGUG